CGGGAGGCAGAGGUUGCAGUGAGCCGAGAUCGUGGCACUGGGCUCCAGCCUGGGCGACAGAGUGAGACUCCAUCAGAAGAGAAAGAGAGACAGAGACAGAGAAAGAAGGAAAGCAAGAAAUUGAGACAUGUUAGGUGGAACCAGAAAGCAAAGCUGAGGCAGGGACCCAGUGUCACAGUUGAAGACAGAACCCAGAUGAUCAAUUAGAUCAAGUGAGAAACAGCCUAGCCUUGGCUUCCCAGAGUUUGGAUGGCAGACGAGCUUCUCCUGAGCUCGGCAGGCCAUGACCUAUGAAUGCUCAUCUUCCUGGGAUACGAUGGACCAAACUGGCAGUCCUCUCACACCCACACACAAGUUCCAGAGAGAGCUUAAUAAUUCAAGAGCCUCAGCUAAUUCUCAGGAUUGACCAGACCAGUGGUCCUCUCUUAUGCUCAGACAUUUAAUAUAUCACAACUGAAAUAGAAUCAUGAGUUGGAACAUCAUGCAUCAGAUCCUGGCCAGUAUGCAUAAGAGCCUUCAUUGAAGAGGAGGUUCAAUCAUAAUCAAGUCGAUCCCUUCAAAAAUGAAUGAACCACAAGGCUCCAUUAGUGAUACUGCACGCUCGCCCAUCCUACUGAUUUACAGUUUUCAGUCAAUUAUAGUGAUUCCAAUCUCAACACCUUCUAAAAUAUGUCCUAUAACAAAAGACUAAGUGGCGACAUGCCAACGAUAAACUAUGAAGUGAAAAUGCCAUAUUUAUAAAUUACAGACUUUGAGG
rnacentral:lncRNA from 1 species